GUAGGUGAACCUGCGGAAGGAUCAUUAUUGAACUCAUCUACUGGGUUGCUGCUGGUUCCACUAUGGUUCAUGUGCACGCCUAGUUCUUGAUCUCUUUUCCACCUGUGCACUUUUGUAGGCCAUUCUGCGCCUUGGUUGAUUGUCUGUUGGGUCAAGGUCUUGCUUUUGUGAGGCUUUUGGAUUGGAGGACUGGGUUAUUGAGUUAGCUCUUCUUCUAGGACUUUCAGCUGAGCACGGAUUAGGUGUCUAC
rnacentral:misc_RNA from 1 species